rnacentral:rRNA from 1 species
GCACGUAGUUAGCCGGACCUUCUUCUGCAGGUACCGUCUGUUUUCUUCCCUGCUGAAAGCGGUUUACAACCCGAGGGCCUUCAUCCCGCACGCGGCGUUGCUGCUUCAGGCUUUCGCCCAUUGAGCAAGAUUCCCCACUGCUGCCUCCCGUAGGAGUCUGGGCCGUGUCUCAGUCCCAGUGUGGCUGAUCGUCCUCUCAGACCAGCUACCCGUCGAAGCCUUGGUGGGCCAUUACCCCGCCAACAAGCUGAUAGGCCGCGAGACCGUCCCGAUCCGUAACCUUUCUUCACCACGCCAUGCGAUGCGGUGAAGGCAUCCGGUGUUAGCAGGUGUUUCCACCUGUUAUCCCAGAGAUCGGGGUGGGUUUCUCACGUGUUACUCACCCGUUCGCCACUAGGUCUUCACCAGUGUUGCCACUGGAUGGACCUCGUUCGACUUGCAUGUGUUAGGCACGCCGCCAGCGUUCGUC